UCAAGUGAGAGAUCUUAUUAUUCCUCUUGAAAGUACCUCAAAAACUCAUGUCUUGUCUAGCUAGGUUCUCUAAAGAUAGCCCUGUUCCUAUUUAUCAGUAGAGAUAGGCGUGGACCGUCCGAUGGCAGCUUGUUUGAGAGAGCAAGUUCAACCAGGCCUUGGACCCAAGUUGGAGAGAGAUCUCAUACCAUAGUCAUACGGAAACAACAACAACAGAUUUUGAUACAGAAGAUGGCAGAGCGGACUGCACACAUGGACCUGAACUUCUUGACCACAGCAUGAACUUGAUGAAGUAGUGGUGGAAGAAUUCACAUGGUAUAACCUCCUUGGUACGGAAGACGAGAGUGAAGAUCAUGAUGGAAAUGUGAUUCAUGUUGAGGAGGAACGCACAGAUGAGUACUACUGUUUUGCCUUGAAUUUAAAAAGAAUCAAUUAAUGGCAGUCUCUGCACUAUCGUGCACUGAUCUUCCCAACAAACAGAAACACAUUAUGAAAAAUCAAUACAGUAUUUGAUUGCAACUGAUGUGUAGGGUAAGGAGGCGAAUUGGAAAGAGUCGUCUGCUAUUUUGUAAAUGAACUUAAAUAGGAACGGGGGCAAAUUUGAAACGCAUGGUCUACUGUUUUUGUAAAUGAUCUUGAAUGGGGAGGGGAGGCUAAUUCAAAUGCACCAUGACCAUCUUCUACAAUUUUGUAAGUAAUCUUGAAAAGGAAAGAGGGCCUCACCGUCUGUUAUGUAAAUGACCUUGAAUGUGGAAGGAAGGCAAACUUGAACGCACUUUCAACUAUUCUAUGAAUGAUGUUAAUUUUAAGGACGAAUUUUAAGGCUAUUUAACUUGAUUGGUCAUUGGUCCUUGGAAGUUGACUUUGACCCCACGUUACGAAGAGAUGCAUACACAUCUCAGUCCUCCGUCUGCGUAGAGCUCCCGCUGUCUCCCCCUAACUCCUCCUGACCACCGCGAAAGCAGAAAACUCGUCACCACCGAGGACGGUUUUGGAUGCCGAAGGGAGCUCGAGGGCUUAGCGGUCUCGCGUACGGGGGACCUUUGCUUCCCCGGAAGAUUUGGUGUUAUGCUUCCUUGCGGACGACGAGACAUUUUGACAGUUUUCCUCGUGUACUGAAUAUUGUGUCUGCUUUGCAGGAGGUAUAGAGCUAUGUUUGCUGUGUUGGAUGCCAUCGAGUACGACUGAAUUUUUGGUGGCCAGCCACACCUUUUGUAACCCUUGUGUUUUUUAUUGUUAGUGUUCUAGGGGAUUUUUUCCUGUUUGGGGAGGAAAGACCCAGGGAACAGAGCUAGCUGCAUUGUAUGAUUUCUUCUUUCAGCGUUUAAUCCGCUUAACUUAAUCCUGGCCGGGGUGAGUUAAGGACGCCUUUAGUUCAUGCUGACGUUUUGUCCCAUUUUGGAGCUGUGUGAUUCUUGUGUGAUUUCUUGAUUUUGUGAAUGUUUUAAGCCGAAUCGGAGCUACAUGAAAUAGACCUUUGUGCAGAAACAAGAUGGCGGUUCUCUUUGAAAUCUUUUGUCUCGCCAAUCUACCGUAAUACUCCAUCAGGGAAAGAUAUGGAUGCUGGUAUUUAUUGCUGAGGUGUGGAGCAGAACGAAAGUUUCCAGAUUUUGAUGUCUUUUAUUUUCGGUAAUAUUUCAGGCAGAAACAGAGGACAACAAUGGCAUGGUCUAUGGGGCAAGAUGGCGACCCCGGGAUUUCUUUGUCUUUCAGGACUAGAUGUUACUCCUCUGAGAGAGUUUGGCCUAGUGUUCAGCCACCGUCUCUGAGCUUUGAAUGCUGCAGUUGGUACGAUUUUGGUGUCAUUUUCUGUUUUGGCGAGGUAAAAUUUCUUUUGCAGUCCUAGAUGGAACGUCGCGGUUGUGUUUGGGGUUCUGCGAGUAUUUGCAUUAGUUUG